rnacentral:tRNA from 1 species
GCCUGGGUGGCUCAGUGGUUGAGCAUCUGUCUUUGGCUCAGGUCAUGAUCCUGGGGUCCUGGGAUCGAGUCCCACAUUGGGCU